UACGUAGGGUGCGAGCGUUAAUCGGAAUUACUGGGCGUAAAGUGUGCGCAGGCGGCCGCGCAAGUCGAGUGUGAAAGCCCCGAGCUUACCUUGGGAAUUGCGCUCGAAACUACGUGGCUGGAGUGUGGCAGAGGAAGGUGGAAUUCCAGGUGUAGCGGUGAAAUGCGUAGAGAUCUGGAGGAACACCGAUGGCGAAGGCAGCCUUCUGGGCCAACACUGACGCUCAUGCACGAAAGCGUGGGGAGCAAACAGG
rnacentral:rRNA from 1 species